UGGGGAAUAUUGCACAAUGGAGGGAACUCUGAUGCAGCGACGCCGCGUGAGUGAUGAAGGAAUUCGUUUUGUAAAACUCUGUUCUAUGGGAAGAAAAGGACCGUACCAUAGGAGAAAGCUCCGGCUAAAUACGUGCCAGCAGCCGCGGUAAUACGUAUGGAGCGAGCGUUGUCCGGAAUUAUUGGGCGUAAAGGGUGCGCAGGCGGCUUUACAAGUUGGAUGUGAAAUAUUGUGGCUCAACCACAAACGUGCAUCCAAAACUGCAAAGCUUGAGUUAAGGAGAGGUAGGUGGAAUUCCUGGUGUAGCGGUGGAAUGCGUAGAUAUCAGGAGGAAUACCGGUGGCGAAGGCGACUUACUGGACUUAAACUGACGCUCAGGCACGAAAGCGUGGGGAGCAAACAGG
rnacentral:rRNA from 1 species